AGAAGGAGAAGGGACAUGAAGACAAAAGAAUCAACUUCAGCAUCAACAAAAUAGAUGCGGGACUGGGUAGGUACCACUGUUCAACGAAACUCUUUGACACCGACAUGGAGCCGACAUGGAGCAUGGAGUGGUGAAUGUGAGGACACACCGGCUGAGCGAAGCCAUUGUUUGUGGUUGCUGAAAUGAGCAAGAUAAAACUGUACACGAAUCUUCCUUGCACAUCUGCACAUUAUUUCCUUCGCACUCAUACU